rnacentral:misc_RNA from 1 species
CUGCCCUCAAGCCCGGCUUGUGUGUUGGGCGUGGUCCUCCCCCCCGGGGGGGACCUGCCCGAAAGGCAGCGGCGACGUUCCGCCCAGGUCCUCGAGCGUAUGGGGCUCUGUCACCCGCUCGGGACGGACCUGCGGGGCGUUGGUCACCCACAAAAUCUUCCACGG